AACAAACAGCAUUUGCUCACCUUUCAGAAUAAAGUGCUCGUGUUUGCUGAUCUGAAUCUGACUUCUGAAAAGCUCAAUGUGUUUUAUCAGGGAACUAACGCUGAGGAAGAGGAACGUGACCCCGAUGGUUCAGGGAGGAAGGUCGAGGAUGACGGGCGAGCGGUGGCGGCCUCCAUCAGGAAGUCUCAGAGGCGUCAGAACGCUGCCGGUGGAGGAGGGAGGAGUGGUCUGAGGAGAAGCUCCCGGCCGGUGAAUCCCGUCAGCAGAUAUCAGACCUCCGGCCGCUCAGUCAGCUCCAGAGCGGACGCGUCGGUCCUGAAGAAGCAGCUCGUUAACGACGUCGACUCGAAGAGCUUCUCUGAAGUGAGGAAGAGGAGGAGAACAGAGGAGCCUCCUCAGGUGGACAUCAGCAGCUUCGAGAAGGGUGGACUCGUGGACGAGGACAGGAAGCAGGAAGCGGCAGCAGAGGACAACAGCUGCGGUACAGCUGAUCUCAGAUCAGUUCCACGCUUACAAUCACCCAGAGGCAUAAAUCCUGCUUUGUGUUGCGCUGCGUUUGUUCCCGCUCAGAGGAAACCGCAUUUGAUGUUUUCGUGUUGA
ensembl:lncRNA